UGGGGAAUUUUGCACAAUGGGGGAAACCCUGAUGCAGCGACGCCGCGUGAUUUAGAAGGCCUUCGGGUUGUAAAAAUCUUUUCUAUGGGAAGAAAAUGACAGUACCAUAGGAAUAAGGACCGGCUAAUUACGUGCCAGCAGCCGCGGUAAUACGUAAGGUCCGAGCGUUGUCCGGAAUCAUUGGGCGUAAAGGGUACGUAGGCGGGUAAGCAAGUUAGAAGUGAAAUCCUAUAGCUCAACUAUAGUAAGCUUUUAAAACUGCUCAUCUUGAGGUAUGAAAGUGAAAGUGGAAUUCCUAGUGUAGCGGUGAAAUGCGCAGAUAUUAGGAGGAAUACCGGUGGCGAAGGCGACUUUCUGGCCAUAACCUGACGCUGAGGUACGAAAGCGUGGGUAGCAAACAGG
rnacentral:rRNA from 1 species